rnacentral:rRNA from 1 species
AGAUUGAACGCUGGCGGCAUGCCUUACACAUGCAAGUCGAACGGUAGAGUAGCAAUACUCGAGAGUGGCGAACGGGUGAGUAAUAUAUCGGAACGUGCCCAGUCGUGGGGGAUAACGUAGAGAAAUUUACGCUAAUACCGCAUACGAUCUAAGGAUGAAAGGCGGGGGAUUCGCAAGAACCUCGCGCGAUUGGAGCGGCUGAUAUCAGAUUAGGUUGUUGGUGAGGUAAAAGCUCACCAAGCCGACGAUCUGUAGCUUGGUUUGAGAGAACGACCAGCCACACGUGGGACUGAGA